GAUGAACGCUGGCGGCGUGCCUAAUACAUGCAAGUCGAGCGAACGGACGAGAAGCUUGCUUCUCUGAUGUUAGCGGCGGACGGGUGAGUAACACGUGGAUAACCUACCUAUAAGACUGGGAUAACUUCGGGAAACCGGAGCUAAUACCGGAUGAUAUUUUGAACCGCAUGGUUCAAAAGUGAAAGACGGUCUUGCUGUCACUUAUAGAUGGAUCCGCGCUGCAUUAGCUAGUUGGUAAGGUAACGGCUUACCAAGGCAACGAUGCAUAGCCGACCUGAGAGGGUGAGCGGCCACACUGGAACUGAGACACGGUCCAGACGCCUACGGGAGGCAGCAGUAGGGAAUCUUCCACAAUGGGCGAAAGCCUGACGGAGCAACGCCGCGUGAGUGAUGAAGGUCUUCGGAUCGUAAAACUCUGUUAUUAGGGAAGAACAUAUGUGUAAGUAACUGUGCACAUCUGGACGGUACCUAAUCAGAAAGCCACGGCUAACUACGUGC
rnacentral:rRNA from 1 species